AAAAUAUUAGUAAAAUAUAAAUUACACCACCUUGUCAAGAUGGAAUUGCAGGUUAAAUUCCUGCAUGUUUUA
rnacentral:tRNA from 1 species